AUUGAACGCUGGCGGAAUGCUUUACACAUGCAAGUCGAACGGCAGCACGGACUUCGGUCUGGUGGCGAGUGGCGAACGGGUGAGUAAUACAUCGGAACGUGCCCAAUCGUGGGGGAUAACGUAGCGAAAGCUACGCUAAUACCGCAUACGAUCUAAGGAUGAAAGCGGGGGAUCGCAAGACCUCGCGCGAUUGGAGCGGCCGAUGGCAGAUUAGGUAGUUGGUAGGGUAAAGGCCUACCAAGCCGACGAUCUGUAGCUGGUCUGAGAGGAUGAUCAGCCACACUGGGACUGAGACACGGCCCAGACUCCUACGGGAGGCAGCAGUGGGGAAUUUUGGACAAUGGACGCAAGUCUGAUCCAGCCAUUCCGCGUGCAGGAUGAAGGCCCUCGGGUUGUAAACUGCUUUUGUACAGAACGAAAAGGCUCUGGUUAAUACCUAGGGCUCAUGACGGUACUGUAAGAAUAAGCACCGGCUAACUACGUGCCAGCAGCCGCCGCCG
rnacentral:rRNA from 1 species